rnacentral:lncRNA from 1 species
CACAAAUCGGAGGAUUUGGAGGCAGCUGGCGUCGCCCUUCCCCCGGAGCCCAGCAAAGCAGAACAGCCCUUAGCAACGCGUAAUGUCAGUGUGUCACGAAAAGUUUCCAAAAUCUCUGCCACCUCCGCCGCCGCCGGCCUCUCGACCGCAGAUCCAAAGAGGAACUCCUCUAUUUCUCCAUCCAUCCGACAGCUCACCGAGAGGUUCAGCAGCAGCGGCUCCGCCGGGACGCACAGAGCCUCCUCACCCGGAGACGGCGCAGCAGUGACGCCGGGGAGCAGCACUCUUCCCCGGGCCAGGGGCUCCACGGGAGACCGGUCACCGUCUCGUGAAUCUUUUCGCGAGGACAGCGGUGGUGGAUGUUUGCAGGAGAGUGAUGCUACCACUGCAGAGUCACUGACGGACAACACAGUGCAAAAGUUUCACUCCGAAACCGACUCCGUUUCAGGCUCGGACUCGGAGAAGAAACGCGAGAGGUGGCAUUUUAAACGUGUAUCAACCGACAGCAACUCUGGUAAGAGAGAUCAUUCACAAAUCAAUGCAUGUGCCUCUGAUCCGAGAAAGACUUUGACUACAGAUGAGGAAGAGGAUGUUACCAUUAGAGGGGUUCCCCCACCCUGUAAAUCUCACAGAAGUUAUGCCGUUACACACCACAGUGACUUUAUUCCCCUGCACUCUGACAAGUGGCCUAGUGUCAACAAAAUUAGACAACUUUUCGACGAGAGUCAAGGCACAAAGCACAAGACUGACUCCUCUGAGAAUUUAAAAGCAGUCAGCAGAGGACAUUUACAUGAGCUCAGCCCCGGUGAGAGUGCUCUUCUCUCGGACAGAAGGGACAAACUCUCGCCUUGCAGUUCUGCUAAUGAAGCUAGUAUCCUGUCUUUGCAUGGCAAAUCCAUAGUUGGAGCUCAAAGCACUGUCAAAGAUAAUUGUUAUCUCGGCAUGGACUUUUAUUCCAAAACUGACCACCAGCAGCACUCAAAUGAUGAGGAGGCAGACUUGGAGACACAAAGUUCUCAUGACAUCAAAGUUUCUGGUGUAAAUACUUUUCAAAGCGGUCGCAGUAGCAGCCGUAGUUGCACUGGCGGUAGUCACUACCAGAGGAUUAACCCAUCUCCAUACAGAUCUCAUAGUCCAAGCACUGAGUCAGAGGCUGCCCGCAAGACCCUUAGGACGACAAGGCUGACAUCUGACCCCGGCCCUGACCUUCAACCUCCU